GACGAACGCUGGCGGCGUGCCUAAUACAUGCAAGUAGAACGCUGAAGGAGGAGCUUGCUCUUCUGGAUGAGUUGCGAACGGGUGAGUAACGCGUAGGUAACCUGCCUGGUAGCGGGGGAUAACUAUUGGAAACGAUAGCUAAUACCGCAUAAGAGUAGAUGUUGCAUGACAUUUGCUUAAAAGGUGCACUUUCCUCACUACCAGAUGGACCUGCGUUGUAUUAGCUAGUUGGUGGGGUAACGGCUCACCAAGGCGACGAUUCAUAUCCGACCUGAGAGGGGGGUUGGCCACACUUGGACUGGGACACGGCCCAGACUCCUACGGGGGGCAGCAGUAGGGAAACUUCGGCAAUGGACGGAAGUCUGACCGAGCAACGCCGCGUGAGUGAAGAAGGUUUUCGGAUCGUAAAGCUCUGUUGUAAGAGAAGAAAGAGUGUGAGAGUGGAAAGUUCACACUGUGACGGUAACUUACCAGAAAGGGACGGCUAACUACGUG
rnacentral:rRNA from 1 species